rnacentral:rRNA from 1 species
AGCAGCCGCGGUAAUUCCAGCUCCAAUAGCGUAUAUUAAAGUUGCUGCAGUUAAAAAGCUCGUAGUUGAAUUUCGGGACCAGUAUGUCGGUCGUGCUUCGGUACGUACUUGCAUUAUUGGUUUCUCCCUUCUGACAAACCAUGAUGUCAUUAAUUUGAUGUCAUAGGAAAUCAGGACUGUUACUUUGAAAAAAUUAGAGUGUUUAAAGCAGGCUAACGCUUGAAUACAUUAGCAUGGAAUAAUGAAAUAGGACGUCGAUCCUAUUUUGUUGGUUUCUAGGAUUAACGUAAUGAUUAAUAGGGAUAGUUGGGGGCAUUAGUAUUCAAUUGUCAGAGGUGAAAUUCUUGGAUUUAUUGAAGACUAACUACUGCGAAAGCAUUUGCCAAGGAUGUUUUCAUUAAUCAAGAACGAAAGUUAGGGGAUCGAAGAUGAUCAGAUACCGUCGUAGUCUUAACCAUAAACUAUGCCGACUAGGGAUCGGAUGAUGUUAAUUUUUUAUGUA